AUGAUCCCAGACUCGUAAUACUUGUUUACCAAAAACCAUCCAAGCUAUGGGAUUGAAGGUAACGGCGAGUUUGUCGCUAAAAUUGGAAUCUUUCUUCAACACAUCAUCGACCGUAAAAAACUUAAGGGACACGAGAGAACAAAAUACGGAUGAAACGUGCUAAUUCUACCGUCAGUCUGCUAAUCAGCUAAUGCAAAUCAGAGCGAUGCAGCAGGAAGAGGAACGGGAACUUGCUUUGGAAAUGCUCAUCAAAUUGAGGUGGUUGAGGCUGCGAUUAAAAUUUGCCUCUUGUACGCAGUUGUUAGAAUGAUUCCAACGAGAAUUAUUGAUGUUGUUUAUAGAAUAAGUUAUUAGUAUAAUGUAUUCUAAGUAUGUAGAAUUAAACGCAAUCAAAUACAAUUUUUUAAAUUAAAAAUAA